rnacentral:rRNA from 1 species
AGUGAACGCUGGCGGUAGGCCUAACACAUGCAAGUCGAACGGCAGCACAGUAAGAGCUUGCUCUUACGGGUGGCGAGUGGCGGACGGGUGAGGAAUACAUCGGAAUCUACUUUUUCGUGGGGGAUAACGUAGGGAAACUUACGCUAAUACCGCAUACGACCUACGGUUGAAAGCAGGGGAUCUUCGGACCUUGCUCGAUUGAAUGAGCCGAUGUCGGAUUAGCUAGUUGGCGGGGUAAAGGCCCACCAAGGCGACGAUCCGUAGCUGGUCUGAGAGGAUGAUCAGCCACACUGGAACUGAGACACGGUCCAGACUCCUACGGGAGGCAGCAGUGGGGGAUAUUGGACAAUGGGCGCAAGCCUGAUCCAGCCAUACCGCGUGGGUGAAGAAGGCCUUCGGGUUGUAAAGCCCUUUUGUUGGGAAAGAAAAGCAGCAGGUUAAUACCCCGCUGUUCUGACGGUACCCAAAGAAUAAGCACCGGCUAACUUCGUG